rfam:Salmo salar isolate Sally breed double haploid chromosome ssa01, whole genome shotgun sequence.
UGGCUCAGUUGGUAGAGUAUGGUGUUUGCAACGCCAGGGUUGUGGGUUUGAUUCCCAU